GAACAGCCCUAGUUGCCGGCGCCAGUGUGCCCCUCACCUGUCACUCUGCCUCCCGCACAGGUUGCCAGGCAGGAGGGAAGGAUCAUCUUGACAUCGGGGCUGCCGUAACACAGCUCCGGGCCCAGGUCAGGGCUGGGCGCUGCCCCUCGGUGGACCGCUCCCUCAAGGCCAACAGCAGGUCAAGGCCAUGCUCAAGCAUUUCACAUGCGUGUCACCCAUGCAGACAUCUUCAGGCGCUGCCAGUGCCAUUCCCAGAGGGAAAACCCACUCGACACACAGAGCAUUCCCAGAGCGGGCCUGGACACUCUCUGGGCCGGUACGUCGGGGUACAAGGCUGGACGUGCAGAGGGAGAAGGCCCGGUCCAAGGUUGGGCCAGGGGCCUGGCCAGGGGUCUGUGGCCAUGCCUCACACUGGUGCCCAGCCCCUGACCCAAAGCUGUGGCGCGUGCCCUGGGCACCAGGGUCCACCUUCUGGGGCAUCUGCGCGUGAAGAGCCAGAGUCAGGUGGUGGAGGCCUGAAGCGGGGAGAUGGCCCACCUGCCCACUCCAGGGGUCAGGGGUGGUGGGUCUCACGUGGUGGGCAGGAUCAUGACCCCUGAAGCUGGCGACCUGGGCCUGGGAUUGUCCAUCAGGAACAUCCGCCGAAAGGACAUUCCCAGUGCCGUCCACCAUGGGAAAAUAUUUUAUCAAAGAAAUUUGAGUUAAAAAAAAAAGCCUAAGCAUGAAC
rnacentral:lncRNA from 1 species